CCUACGGGAGGCAGCAGUGGGGAAUAUUGGGCAAUGGGCGCAAGCCUGACCCAGCAACGCCGCGUGAAGGAAGAAGGCUUUCGGGUUGUAAAGUUCUUUUCUCAGGGACGAAGCAAGUGACGGUACCUGAGGAAUAAGCCACGGCUAACUACGUGCCAGCAGCCGCGGUACUACGUAGGGGGCAAGCGUUAUCCGGAUUUACUGGGUGUAAAGGGCGGGUAGGCGGGGAAGCAAGUCAGAUGUGAAAACCAUGGGCUCAACCUGUGGCCUGCAUUUGAAACUGUUUUUCUUGAGUGCUGGAGAGGAAGGCGGAAUUCCUAGUGUAGCGGUGAAAUGCGUAGAUAUUAGGAGGAACACCAGGGGCGAAGGCGGUCUGCUGGACAGUAACUGACGCUGAGGCGCGAAAGCGUGGGGAGCAAACAGGAUUAGAUACCCGAGUAGUC
rnacentral:rRNA from 1 species